rnacentral:tRNA from 1 species
UCCAAUAUUGAGCGGCUGGGCAAGCUCUCACGGUGCGCUAAACCGUGACCCGGAAGGGGCGCAGGUUCAAAUCCUGCUUUUGGAGC